UGCAUAUUUAUGCUGCAAUAUAUUGUUAAAUAAUUCCUAUACAUUAGACACAUGUUUCAAAGCAAUUACCGUCAAUUCCUGUCUGCAUAUAUAUUAUGUAACAUAUUGUUGAAUAAUUUUUAUGUAUAUUAGACUCCGAAAAGAGCAGACACGUAUUUUAAAAUUACUUUGGCUAUGUAAAAGUUUACCCGGAGGCCUCCUGAAUCAAAAAGUAUGUCUCCAUCGCAAUUGCUCUUUGUCAUCCUAAGCUUGUCUUUGCUGUGCGGGCCAGGGCAAGCAAUUCCUCGUAUGCUACGCAGUGGGCCUGCAGCAACCGAUGCUAAUCAAGAAGGAGUCACUCGAAUGCCACAAGUGCUUCAAGAGGGAGUCACUCGAAUGCCACAAGCGCUUCAAGAGGGAGUCACUCGAAUGCCACAAGCGCUUCAAGAGGGAGUCACUCGAAUGCCACAAGCGCUUCAAGCCAGUAGUACCGUUCAACAUAUUAUGCCGGACGAACAAACGUCUAGAUCUCGAAAAUCGCUUAGUUAAACUAGAGGAAACACGGAGCGUCCUUCGUAACGAUAAAAAAGGAAUAAAAAGGAUGGAGUUACAUGGACGAAUUCUUCUGCCCCUAAGUAAGAUUCGAAAUUGAAUUAUUGCAUAAAUUUUAUCAACGAAAUAAAAUAUGAACUGCUA